rnacentral:rRNA from 1 species
UACAGAGGUGGCAAGCGUUGUUCGGAUUCAUUGGGCGUAAAGGGCGCGUAGGCGGCGGGGUCAGUCGGGUGUGAAAUCUUGGGGCUUAACCCCGAAACGGCACUCGAAACUGCCCGGCUGGAGGGCCGGAGAGGAGAUCGGAAUUCACGGUGUAGCAGUGAAAUGCGUAGAGAUCGUGAGGAAGACCCGUGGCGAAGGCGGAUCUCUGGACGGCUAACUGACGCUGAGGCGCGAAGGCCACGGGAGCAAACGGG